UUAGCCUCGCUGUUUAUUUAUUUAUUUUUUGCCCAAUUUUGUUUAACUGAGAGAUGUUUUCAACACAUUUCUAAACAUAAUAGUUUUAAUAACUAAUUUCUUACAGUGAUAAAAAUGAUUCUGAGUGUUUGUAGAUACUAUGUAGUUUAAUUUGUAAAAUCAACAAAAAAUGUUAAGUUCGUAGCUUUACAUGAAUAAAUGUCGUUUUGAAUUUUUUUUUUACUCAGUUUUUCUGAAUAAUCUCAGACAAACAUUUUUUGUACAGAAGACAACAUAACAUAACACCUUGUUAAAUUUACAAAAUAACUAUUUCCCUUCGUCUUUGGCUGGGAAACCCCAUUUGAAAGAAGAAGAACAUGCGGGCGAAAUAAGGGGAUUCACUUGACAAGUGCACUGGAUAAUGGACAACAGCAUUGACUCCCGAAGAUAAAGGACUACCAGGUUUAAGAUGACUAUAAUUUUAUAACCAGUCAAGAGCACCCCAGUUCACUUGUUUCCAACAUCUUUGUGGACAACCAAUCCAGUGAUGAAGGUCACAAGAAAGCUGAAAUAUAGCCAUAGAGAGAGCAAAUGUACUUUUUGGAGUCGAUUCUUGCACCUACUGUACCUAAUGGGCCGCAUUUAUGCACUGGAACUAAGCUAUCCAAAGAAACUCAAAUACAACUUUGAGGUCUUUCAUAAGGGCUUCUUCAAGCUUGACGACGAACAGUAACAUGCUCCCCAACGUCCACAAUCUCAAGGUCAGCUUAUUGACCUAAAAGCCAUACAGACAUUGUUGAUGCUAGCGAGAUUUUGUUGGGUAAUUUCAGUUAAACUGUAUUGUUCAGAUUCAUCAGGUUUACCAAAAGCACAUUUUUGAAAUGGUAUUUUUAUAUUUGGAUCAUACUAGUGGGUCAGUUAAAGGGUUAGUUCAC